GGGGAAGCCGAAAGGCGAAGUAUCCGAGAUCACACUGCCGAGAAAAGUCUCUAGGGAGGUAAACUGUGCCCGUACCGCAAACCGACACAGGUAGGUGAGGAGAGGAUCCUAAGACCAUCGGAAGAAUUGUUGUCAAGGAACUCGGCAAAUUGACUCCGUAACCUAGGGAGAAGGAGUGCCUCGGAAGAGGCCGCAGAGAAGAGGCUCAAGCAACUGUUUAUCAAAAACACAGGUCUCUGCUAAAGCGAAAGCUGAAGUAUAGGGGCUGACGCCUGCCCGGUGCUGGAAGGUUAAGGGGAAUACUUAAUA
rnacentral:rRNA from 1 species